GCCACCUUAGCUCAGCUGGUAGAGCAAUUCAUUCGUAAUGAAUAGGCCAGCAGUUCGACUCUGCUAGGUGGCU
rnacentral:tRNA from 1 species